UCGCCCCUACGGGGCGCAGCAGUGGGGAAUAUUGGACAAUGGGGGGAACCCUGAUCCAGCGACGCCGCGUGAGUGAAGAAGUAUUUCGGUAUGUAAAGCUCUAUCAGCAGGGAAGAAAAUGACGGUACCUGACUAAGAAGCCCCGGCUAACUACGUGCCAGCAGCCGCGGUAAUACGUAGGGGGCAAGCGUUAUCCGGAUUUACUGGGUGUAAAGGGAGCGUAGACGGUGCAGCAAGUCUGAUGUGAAAGGUCGGGGCCCAACCCCGGGACUGCAUUGGAAACUGUUGAACUUGAGUGCAGAAGA
rnacentral:rRNA from 1 species